UUUUUUUUAUUGUUGUUUCCUUACAGUUUCAUGAAAUUUAAGCUCUUUUAUACCAGAAAAUGUGAAAUUAAGUAUACGUUACAUUCUAGCAUUACACGGUGAACUAGAAAUUUAUAAAAUCAUUUUACAGUGGACCAAGUGUACGGUUUAGGACCAGGCAGUGAGUCACUCUUGGCGGGCUCCCUUGAAGAGUCACCUACUGUAUGUUACUACGGGGAUAGGUUUAUGGUUUAAUAAAUAAGCUAACGUACAGUUUAUUUGGAUGGGGUACUGGUCAGUUCAUAAUAAGAAUCAUCUGUAAAAACAAAAUGGGAACUGCACAUUUUACGAAGUUUUGGUCCUCUAUCAUUAAUGACAGCGGUAUGCAGGAUCAGUUAAAGUCUGUAAUGUCCAUAGAAGAUGAAGAAGAACGGGCACUGCAGCUGUUGACUCGAACUCUUUUCAUUUUAGUAAUGGAAAUCAAGCAUGAACGUGAUGAAGCUAAUAAGAAUCUGAACCAGUUGAUGGAAAAUAUUAGGACAUGCAAGUCGUGUGGAAUGAUGACAAAAUUUGAUGCACACUGCGAGACUAGAAAAAAUGCUGAUAUGAAUUGUAAUGGGCUAAAACAUCAAAAAGAGGUACCUAAUUUAAGUUUUCCAGAGAAUUGUAUGGAAAUGGAAACAAGUAAAAAACUGAUACUGGUAGAGGGAGAUGAUAUUGCCAGUGAAGAAGGCCAUAUUGCUCCACAGUUGAAAGACCCAAUGGGAUUGAAUUAUUCCAAAAUAAAAAAUAUAAAAUAUCGAUGUUUAUCCAGAUACCCAAAAGGAAACAGUCCAAACAUUGGCCAAGAGGAUGAAGAAAAUGAAGAAAGUAUAAUAAAAUCCGAGACUGAAGAGCAAAAUAUCCCUAAAAUUCUUGCUCCUGAAACAUUGUCUCUGGAUGAAAAUGAGUUUCAUGUAAGUUCAUCACAGAAAAGAACUUUUGAAACAAAUAUUGUGAGUGUCCCAGAGACUCUUGCUAUUGAGAAUACAAGAUCCAUCGAUAAUGAAUGUGAGGUGGUAUCUAAUGAGAAAAGUAAUCCAGUUCUUGAUUCACGUGUUGGUAUUGAAGGAGAAUUGAGAAGUCCUUCAAGAAAUCAUACAGGAAUGGCUGACUCCUUGAACCAACGAAGUCCUGUGUUAGGGAAGAAAACUCGACAAGCAACCUCCAAAUCAUUGAAGCAAAGCAUUAGAAUGGAUUUUCCAAAAGCACUGGACUUUGAAGAGUUUAAUAAAGAGUCACAUAAACCAGUGGAAAUCAACACCCCAGAAUCCAAAGUUACAAAAGUCACUUCCACGCCAAAGUUCUCUCCCCGAGUAUUCACCCACAGCUUAUCAACCUCGUUUAAUGAUUCUGACAAUACUUCACCUUCACUUUUGCCACCUGUUAAGACUAAAGCCAUUAGAUGCAAUACUAAAGAAAAUUAUUUUCCAUCUUUACCAGCAGCUCUGAAUAAGAUUGAAAAUCAAGGUCAAUCUACCUCAAAAGGAAGAAAAGAAUUUCAGAAGUCCAUAUCAAGUUAUAAUAUGCCUCUCCCAUCAAUAAAACCUUUCAGUUUAAGGAGACACCAAAGUGUAGACAAGCAGAGUAAGAGGUCUUCUUACAAGAUGAGUAUAGACCCACCUGAAGUACAGAAGAAUUAUAAACAAACAAAAAUAUCUGAAAGUAUCUUCCAAAAGAAGACAGAUGUAGCACUAUUUACAGGUGGUGUAGCAAGGAAAGGGCUCACCUUCCUUGAUGAUGAAAAGGCUGCUGUUAGUGCAGCACUGGAGGAGUCACUCAAGACCAAGGCUAUAUAUGAUAUGAUGCGUAAAAAGCAAAAAGGAUUACUGAAUGCUGAAUCCACAUGUGAUAUUAAAAAAAUGAAAGGAGCUCAUACUUUGAUUGAUGGUGUAGAUGGUCAGAACCUGGACCCAACUUCAUCCCCAGUGUCUCGUGGAGAAAUAAAUACCUCUAACCCACGAAAGGAAAAAUCAAAGGUUUGCAGCCCCAUAAAAAGUCCCUUGCUAACUCCAAGAAAGCAUAAGUCUGGCCCAGGAAAGAGACAACAAGAAAGCCCAUGUAAAGAAAGAGGAAAUCCAAGGAAGAGAAAAAAAAUAGAGGAAAAACCAAAAAAGGGAAAAGAAGAGGAAAUUUUGGAAAUAGAUCAGCUGCUAGACCAAGUCAAUUGCAGCCCACCACAGAAAAAAUACAGUGGAGAAUAAACCUAACAAACUUAAAUCACCAGAGAAAAAGUCAUUGUCAAAGCCAAGAAAUAAAUUAUUUGAUAAUAGCUUUGAUAUCAUCCCGGUUAAAAAUGCAGAACCUGAGUUUGCACACCAGGGAGAGGUUGUAAGGAAGAAGGCAGAUCGUAAACAGUUGGAAGGCUGGCAGUGUCAUGAGUGUGAACAAUGGUAUGAAGCAGAAGAUCUUAACCCAGAGGAGAAAAAGAUGAUGAUGAACAAAUGUUCCCGACACAAGAGCAAGUAUAACCCAUUGAGGAACACACCUAAAAACUUUUGGAAUCCUGACUGGAUUGACGAAGGUUGAUGAGAGGUGGUAAUACACAUGGUAUUAUAAUGAUUGUUUUUUGUUUUUUGUUUUUACAUUGCACUUAAAGAAUACAAAACAUAUAAGACAGUA
rnacentral:misc_RNA from 1 species